rnacentral:tRNA from 1 species
AUUUAUAUAGUUUAAACAAAACAUUUCAUUUUCAAUGAAAAAAUGAUAAAUAAUCUGUAAAUA